GGGAUGGGAGAAAUGUAUCAAAAUCGAUACUUUUCGUAUAAAAAUAAAUACUUAUAUCGUGAUAUUUUUCACCUGACUUAUCGCUGUUAUCGCUAUCGGCAACGAAAGUGCGUAAAUACAAAUAAAUAAUUAUUAUUUCACUGUUAUCGCUAUCGGCAAACGUAGUGCCGGAAAACGUAAGGGAAUGCAGUUAACUUGUAAGAUACGGUGAUUUUCUAACAAAGUUAUGUUCUGGAAUUUCUAUCGAUAUAAAUAUCGGGGUUUUUGAAGUUCAAACAUAGUCGGCCGCACUGAAAGGCACGCCGUGUAAACAAGCGAGUGCUUCUGGUUCUGGGGGAAUUCCUAAAAUCGGGGCCCCCAGCGGCAGAGUGUGGUCCACCACAUGUAAGCUAUUAAACUGUAAUAACAAUCUGAUGACCGAAAACAAUGUGCCCGGAAUUAGCGCCCACUCCGUGUCUCGAAGCACGCACACGAACGUCUGGGGAUAGUGCUGAUCAUUAAAUAUAACGCCACCAUUAAUUCCCUCAAACAAUGGAAACCCACUAUGUGUAUUCCUUUGAAGGUGAUUUAAACAAUUGUAAUAUUUUCCAUUGAGGAAGCAGGAAAAUUUCGUGGUAAAUAAAAUAUGCAAUAAAAUGA